rnacentral:rRNA from 1 species
CCUACGGGUGGCAGCAGUGGGGAAUAUUGCACAAUGGGGGUAACCCUGAUGCAGCGACGCCGCGUGAUUGAAGAAGUAUUUCGGUAUGUAAAGCUCUAUCAUCAGGGAAGAAACUGACGGUACCUGCCUAAGACUCCCCUGCUAACUACGUGCCAGCAGCCGCGGUAAUACUUAGGGGGCAAGCGUGAUCCGGAUUUACUGGGUGUAAAGGGAGCGUAGCCGGUUAUUCAAGGCUGAAGUGAAAACCCAAGGCUCAACCAUGGGACUGCUGUGGAAACUGUAGAACUGGAGUGUACGAGAGGUAAGCGGAAUGCGUGGUGUAGCGGUGAAAUGCGUAGAUAUUAGGAGGAACACCAGUGGCGAAGGCAGCUUACUGGACUGUAACUGACGUUGAGGCUCGAAGGCGUGGGGAGCAAACAGGAUUAGAUACCCGAGUAGUC